UUGCGGUUAAAAAGCUCGUAGUUGGAUUUCUGUUGAGAACGGCCCGUCCUCGCUAUGCGUGUGCAUGUGGUUCGAUCUCGGCAUCCUCCAGGGGAACGUUCCUGCGCUUCAUUGCGUGGGGCGGAAUUCUGGACUUUUACUUUGAGGAAAUUAGAGUGUUCACGGCAGGCAGUCGCCUUGAAUAUAUUAGCAUGGAAUAAUAAUAUAGGACCUUGAUUCUAUUUUGUUGGUUUCUAGAAUUUAGGUAAUGAUUAAUAGGGACAAUUGGGGGCAUUUGUAUUAACACGUCAGAGGUGGAAUUCUUGGAUUGUGUUACGACAAACUACUGCGAAAGCAUUUGCCAAGGAUGUUUUCAUUGAUCAAGAACGAAAGUAAGGGGAUCGAAGACGAUUAGAUACCGUCGUAGUCUUUACCAUAAACUAUGCCGACUAGAGAUUGGAGGUCGUU
rnacentral:rRNA from 1 species